AGUGGCGGACGGGUGAGUAACACGUGAGAAUUUACCUUUAGGAGGGGGAUAACAAUCGGAAACGAAUGCUAAUACCCCAUAUGCUUUUGAGUGAAAUGGAUUUAUUCGCCUAAAGAGAAGCUCGCGGCUGAUUAGCUUGUUGGUGAGGUAAAAGCUUACCAAGGCGACGAUCAGUAUCUGGUUUGAGAGGACGAUCAGACACACUGGAACUGAGACACGGUCCAGACUCCUACGGGAGGCAGCAGUGGGGAAUUUUCCGCAAUGGGCGAAAGCCUGACGGAGCAAUACCGCGUGAGGGAAGACUGCCUAUGGGUUGUAAACCUCUUUUUUCAGGGAGGAAAAAAAUGACGUGUACCUGAAGAAUAAGCAUCGGCUAACUCCGUGCCAGCAGCCGCGGUAAGACGGAGGAUGCAAGUGUUAUCCGGAAUCACUGGGCGUAAAGCGUCUGUAGGUGGUUUAAUAAGUCAACUGUUAAAUCUUGAGGCUCAACUUCAAAAUCGCAGUCGAAACUAUUAGACUCGAGUAUAGUAGAGGUAAAGGGAAUUUCCAGUGGAGCGGUGAAAUGCGUAGAUAUUGGAAAGAACACCGAUGGCGAAGGCACUUUACUGGGCUAUUACUGACACUCAGAGACGAAAGCUAGGGUAGCAAAUGGGAUUAGAUACCCCAGUAGUCCUAGCUGUAAACUAUGGAUACUAGA
rnacentral:rRNA from 1 species